UACAGAGGUCUCAAGCGUUGUUCGGAUUCAUUGGGCGUAAAGGGUGCGUAGGCGGCGCGGUAAGUCGGGUGUGAAAUCUCGGAGCUUAACUCCGAAACUGCAUUCGAUACUGCCGUGCUUGAGGACUGGAGAGGAGACUGGAAUUUACGGUGUAGCGGUGAAAUGCGUAGAUAUCGUAAGGAAGACCAGUGGCGAAGGCGGGUCUCUGGACAGUUCCUGACGCUGAGGCACG
rnacentral:rRNA from 1 species